GACGAACGCUGGCGGCGUGCCUAAUACAUGCCAGUAGAACGCACAGUUUAUACCGUAGCUUGCUACACCAUAGACUGUGAGUUGCGAACGGGUGAGUAACGCGUAGGUAACCUGCCUGGUAGCGGGGGAUAACUAUUGGAAACGAUAGCUAAUACCGCAUAAUAUUGAUUAUUGCAUGAUAAUUGAUUGAAAGAUGCUAUUGCAUCACUACCAGAUGGACCUGCGUUGUAUUAGCUAGUAGGUGAGGUAACGGCUCACCUAGGCGACGAUACAUAGCCGACCUGAGAAGGUGAUCGGCCACACUGGGACUGAGACACGGCCCAGACUCCUACGGGAGGCAGCAGUAGGGAAUCUUCGGCAAUGGACGAAAGUCUGACCGAGCAACGCCGCGUGAGUGAAGAAGGUUUUCGGAUCGUAAAGCUCUGUUGUAAGAGAAGAACGGGUGUGAGAGUGGAAAGUUCACACUGUGACGGUAUCUUACCAGAAAGGGACGGCUAACUACGUG
rnacentral:rRNA from 1 species